AUUGAACGCUGGCGGCAUGCCUUACACAUGCAAGUCGAACGGCAGCACGGGAGCAAUCCUGGUGGCGAGUGGCGAACGGGUGAGUAAUGUAUCGGAACGUGCCCAGUCGUGGGGGAUAACGUAGCGAAAGCUACGCUAAUACCGCAUACGAUCUAUGGAUGAAAGCGGGGGAUCGCAAGACCUCGCGCGAGUGGAGCGGCCGAUAUCAGAUUAGGUAGUUGGUGGGGUAAAGGCUCACCAAGCCGACGAUCUGUAGCUGGUCUGAGAGGACGACCAGCCACACUGGGACUGAGACACGGCCCAGACUCCUACGGGAGGCAGCAGUGGGGAAUUUUGGACAAUGGGCGAAAGCCUGAUCCAGCAAUGCCGCGUGCAGGAUGAAGGCCUUCGGGUUGUAAACUGCUUUUGUACGGAACGAAACGGCGAACUCUAAUACAGUUUGCUAAUGACGGUACCGUAAGAAUACGCACCGGCUAACUACGUGCCAGCAGCCGCGGUAA
rnacentral:rRNA from 1 species